UGAAGAUUUCUGGUUUUGUGGUUAAGGGAUCUCAAAAAAUCUCGCUGUUAAGUUGAGGGACCUCCGGUGAACUUAUUUCAAAUAAUAUUUCUUUAUGCCUUUAUGGGCCUUUACGCAAAAUUGGCAGAGCCCAAAAUCCUAAAAGGCCUUUUUUGACAGGCUCUGACAAUGCGUGAACAGUAUCCUCUGCCUUGCAGAGAAAACCGUAGAGCGUGCCGUCUAGUCAGUUUUAGCCAUCGGAUCAUCCUAUCAACGGCCAGGAUGGAGAAGGAAUCCCUGUCUCUCUCCUCCAUUAAUUACACGCACGUCUCGAGCCCCCCGGCGGCCCGGCCACUGUACCCCGCGCGCCAUAUCGCCACCGCCACCGCCCACCCGAAACCUCCCGCUCCUCUCGAACCUUUCCGAGGCGGCGAAACCCCCACUCCCCGCCGCGCUGCGCCGCGCCGCCGCGCCCUCUCCUCCCGGAUCUCGCCGCCACGCGGCUGCGGGGUGGUCGGGGGUUCAAGGCGUACGGGUGGCGCGGCUAAAUCCGCGGCGCCGCAUUUGGUUGGGGGGAUAUGCCCAAUUCUGUAUGCGGCCGCCGGAUUUGAGCGGGCGGAAGCGGUGGGCGGGCGAGCCGGCGAACCACUCCUCGAGCGGGGCGCCGACGCAGGAGAAGGAGCAGGUGGAUGGGCGGGCGCGGUGGAUUCUCCAGGUUCAGACUGAGCAUGCUCUCAGCUUUCAAGGAACGUGGAAAGCAGACUGUUGAGCAGGGAGUAUAUAUCAUGUGUUACCUUUUUUCUUUGGGGUGUGUGUGUGAGUACAGUUCAACGAGCUUGCUUCACCUUCGUCUGGUUGCGUGUGCGCGCGCACACGCUAUGUCCACUAUGUUUGCAGGUAACAAACACCUUUGGCAAUGUGGUGUUCGCAGGUAACAUAUAUUUUCCCCUCGCAAGCAAAAUUUUUAAAAGAAGCUAAUGGCUAGUUUUCAGCACUAGUAUCAGGUUUUUCUUUCUGCAUGCGGAUUGCUUUUUGGCAAUUUUUUUAAGAACUGAGCCUUUUAGCAAUUCUCGCCCUGCUUUCGGCAACCAUUGUCAAAGUAACAAUUUUGUAACUUGUACCCCUGUUUAUCUUAAUGAAAUUUGGUCGGCCUUGCUGGCCGACCUGGCAAAAAAAUAUAUUUCCCCCUCCAGUUGUUAAAAAUCUUAAGAUACUAGCAGCAUGUUCUUUUGAAUUGUAUUUAUAGGUUUUUAUUUUAUUUUUCGUUGCAUACAAGGCUAGUUCUCUAUACAUAUUAGAAAUGGUCAGUUCGUUUCCUGCAAUGUUUUUGUUUUAUGGUGGAAUAUUUGAUGGACAGGAUUGGCCUAUCUCACUUCCUAUCUCAAAGCGAAGAAGCACAAUUCCUGCAUAUUCUCUAAAAACAGUAAGAAGAUAGGAUAGGUGGGGGGUGACCACACAAAAACAACCCAGUAAUUAGCUAGAGCUAAGCUGCUCCCAAAAAAAAAAAUUGUGCCAUCCUCUUAUUAUUCCGUAUGUGCAUUAGAAUUUAUUAUUUGACACAUACUAAUUCCUUUUGUCAUUGUCAUAUUGUCAAUGAAACAUUUAAACACCACAUUAAUGUCUCCCCAUCCUAAGAUUUUGUUUUCAGUUGCAUUGUCAUUUAGAUAUAAUCACUCCUAUGGGUUUUUGCAGUCCUGUUAGAAGCUCUUCUUGCUAGUUUAUUCUGCUUGACUGCUUGUAAGUUGAUUUGUUGAAUGCUUCAUUGAAGAUUCUUUCUGAAAAUGUAAUCAUAACUUAAUUGUUCCAUCUUCGCCGCAAAAAAGAAGAAGAAGAAAACAUUGGAUUGUUCCAUCUAUUUUGAUUGCGUUAUGACUUUCUAGGCAACUACAAUAUAUAUAUUCUUCAGUAAUUUUGCAAUAUAGUACAAAAGAUAUAGCUAUAUAUAAGUUUACUUUACAAGGCAAAAUUUGUGUACACUUUCAAUUUGAAUGCAGUUUUGUGUCCUCAAUGUAAAUUUCCAAUCUAUUAUAAUAAAAAUGUGCUUGAUGCUUUUAAAAAGAAAGUUUCUGUUUCAUGGGAAUUCAUGUACCCAAUAUCGAAUGCCCUGUGUUGCAAUGAUUUGAAAAUUGCUACUAAAAUCAUUACCGUAGUAUACAAAGUUCUACAAACCUGCAAUUCAAUAUCAAGUUUGAUCUAGAAGUAAAGGAAAAAAGAAGACAAGAACCAAUGUGAAUGGUUCAUCAUGUCCCAAGUACAACUUGCCUUGUUUGGAUCUUGACGUGUGGGAUGAAUCUGGCAUUCAUUUUCCUUUUUGCAUGUCUGUACAACUUUAUGUAUACUUCACUCAUGAUUAUUGAAUACUGCAAAUGUUGGAUUUCACUAUUUCUGCAACGGGGAUGUAGCCACAUGUGCAGGGCACAGAAAUGUUUAGUUUUGGUUGUUAUUGCGACCUAUGUUCUCCAAUACAUGUUGUUUCCUAUUAUGCCAAGUUGACUGGGUUAAUUAGUGUCAACUCUGAAUACAGAAAGGUUGUUUUGUUGCUUCAUCAAUUUUGUGAAGCUCAUGUACAUACUUCGGUAAUUCAACAAUCCUAUGUAACUGAGCCUAGCUUGGUGGAAGGUCAGCAUCUCCACCCUCCACAACACCUGGGUUUGACCUCGCUUUGAGCUUAGGUUCCUUUUUUCUUCUUAGUGGAGAAAAUCCUAAUUUCUCUUAUGUAUUCUUUCUUGCAUUGAGAUUCCUGAAUACCUGUUGAUAGUUUUAUUUAUAGUUGGCAAAUUUGACUGAAUCAUCCAGUUGAUCCCAGAUUAUUCACAUGUUUCAUAUACAGCACAAGUUCGUUCCAUAUUGAGAAAGGUUUGCAAGACUGUGAACUAGAUAUAUGAGCCAUCUUUCAGUUAUUAUUAUUAAAUUGGAUGCCAACAUUGCGUCAAAAAAAAAAAAAAUGGAUGCCAACAGAAUAUGAGGAACUGGAAGGCACCAGCCCUCAGUUUUCCUUCAACAGGCAUGCAAGGUACAGAACCUGAGGUGGAGAAUGAAAUUUCAGGAUUCAAACUCCAGGAAUUUAAUGAUGAAUUUUAGGUGGAUGGAAUCUUAUAUGGUCAACUUUGUAAAAGAAAGGUUCCUUUGUUUUGAGGCAUCUGCUUAAGAUGUUUAAAUUCAUGCUUUAUGCCUUUGUUUUCUUUUCCUUUUUCUGGAGAGACACAAUGGCUAUUGUUUUCAAUAUAACCUUCUUUCAGAGCUCGUUAUCAUCGCCUAAUUAGCAGAAUCUUAUGCAAUAAAUAAUGUACAUAUAACAACGUAUAUAGUAGUGUUGUCGUGUAUAUAAUUAGUCUUCAGCAGUAGCUUUUUUUUUUGUUGAGAUAAUCUUCAGCAGUAGCUGUAGUUAACAUCAUUCUUAAAAAACAUCAUUCAGUGGAAGCAAAAGUCUUCUAACAUAUUUGCCUUUAGCAGCAAUUGGCAGUAUUGCUUUCCGUUUUAUAUAUAUGACAUCUUGCAGCAUCGGAUAUGAUGUGGUUUAGCUGUCGUGGCAUAUACAAUCAUCACUGCAGUAGACUUGUUUGUAAGGUUGUUAGGAUUCCAAUCUUAGCUGGAGCAUUGUGUUGUCAAAUGGUGAGAUCUCCCCUUAUUAUUCGCUAUUCACAUAUAUGGCACAUGAGAACAUCCUUAGACUUAGUAUAUGUAUGGGCUGCGAAAUAAAAUAAAAAAAUGGUCUGUGUUACUAUAAAUUGCAUGCAUUGUUCUGUAGUUCCAUGCAAGGGCAAAAAAAGGUACUAUUAUGUACGAUUACAUUCUAGUAAGACUGGAAAAGGUGUUACUGGAGAUCUUCCUUUUUUUAGCAAAGGAAUACUAGAGAUCUGCCUUAUACGUUAGAACCUAACACACUUGACUCACCUUGGUAAUGCAUUUUGAUGAUGAUAUUUUUUCAGCAAAAAUGCCAAAAGGGGUAGGAGCUCUAACUAUUGCAUUGAAGGAGGUAAGAAAUGGAAUUUUAAUAAGCACAAAACAAGGGGAUAUUACAGUGCUACGUGUCCUCCAAACAAGCUCCGAAGCACAUCAUGUAACGCUUUACUAAUAAUAGAUUGUUCAACCACAUGGAGUUUAUUUCUGUUUGCAUCAUGUGAAGUUUAAUGUUACCAUUUGCAUCCUAUGAUGCAAUAGCCUCCAAACAAGUUCUGUCCGGUGUGCAUCAUCAUGUAAAUUGUAACUGUAUGUGCUUGUUGUUACCAGGGAGCUGUUUUUGCUGCUUGUGCAGGACAAAUUCUCCAGGCUUUCCCUUUUUGAUAAUCAGGAUCACGAACUGGUGGCAAUUCCUUGAAGGGUUGAAAAGCUAAAUCACAUCUGCAAGUGCAAGUUUGCCUCCUGAUUUUGGACAGCAUAUCUACAAUUGCAGGUGGAAAUGGAAUUCAAUGUGUCACAGGAAGGCAUUAGUUUGAGAUUGCUCUCAAGAAGAAUACUAAUGAGAGCAACAGUGUUUUAUGGAGCUUCAGUAGAAGACAGUGUGAAGUACCAAUUGAUAAGUCUGACAUGAAAGCGAGACUUGGAGAGCAUUUUGACCUAACUUAGAGCUAAUUCUUUACUUAUUUCUUUCAUUCCAAAGAACUUUAAUAUUGAACCACCACCAUCUUUUUCUUGAAAAUAAUUGCUGUUAAUUAACAUAAAAAAAUCUUUGGAUGCCGAUGGGGGACCCACCCUGUCCAUGAGAAGUGCACGAUGCGCUGCUCUAAAAUAUCGUAGAAAUUUCGCUAUAGAGUAUGUUUGGGUUAAUGGUCGCGGUUUUUGUUUUCUUUUGGUGUUCCCUUGUACUAACCCCGGACUUAACGGGCUUGUAUGAGUCUUCUUAGACUCUUUCCUUAUCCUAAAUAUAAUGAAGCCCAACUAUCCUGCUUGUUUGAGAAACAAAAUCCUAGAAAUUCCUGAUGCUGCACAUACAUGUUAUAAACCCCAUGUAUUAACAUGCUUUAUAUGCUUAUAAUUCGUCUAUUUAUGUAUUAUACACAAGAUUUGUCAUCAAUAUGGAUGCAGUUUACUUUUAGUUGGUGUUUUUGGUGAAAACUUUUUUUCGGUUUAGAACUAAUCUGAAUUAUCUACAUCUUGGUCUGGUUUCAUCUAUUUAACAGACAAGAUAUAUUCUAAAAAAUAUGACUGCAAUGCUAAUUUCAUUUGAUACUUGGAUCAGCAUAAUCUACAUUUUGGACUUCUUUUUUUGACGAAAAUACUGUCAAUUUGGACUUGCUAGCUAGAUGUAUAUUAUAUAUCUGAACAGUUCCUGCACUGAUCAAGUUAGUACCAGUGGCAAUAACCACUCACUGAUAUUCUUAUUGGGGGAUUUCCUUGUGGUUAUUAGUGUUGUAUACUUGCUUAAACAUAUUGUAGGCUGAAAUUGUAAGGUCAAUACUUGCUAUCAUUGUUGUUAUUUAUCAGGUAGAAGUUGACUACUUGUGGUCUUUCCAUCUGAAGUUUUUGUUUUACUCAUAGUACAUGAAAAAUUUUAAAUUUGCUUAAUCUUCGCUUAUGCUAGUUUAUCAUGAAAUGAAUCAAGAUGUUCCAUAAGUUGUAACAUGUCUUGCUGGUGGUCCAUGAUUUGUAGAUUUCUGACAUUGAAAGCUUAAUUCUUUUAUUUUUGUGGUUAGUUGACAAUAGCAUGUGAUAUACUCACCUUAUUCUGCUGCAUUAUCACAUGAUUUGUUAACACACCAUUCUACUUCAGAUUUAUGUUGCAAUAACGUUGGAUAAUCUCAGAACAAUUAAUGUAACCUAUUUGUGUUGCUGCCAAUCAGCCUAUCCAGUCAAGCAACCGUGCACUUGCUGACCUCCCGAGCCUUCUUCAGAAAUCUCCUUCACCAUCUGUAGCGUUUGUUAAUUUUUUCCUGGCUAAAAAGGUAAUUACUACUGCACCUUAGCCUCUUUUCAGGUUGUGAAGCACACCUCCCAACAUGACAUCAACUAGGAAUAAAAAUUGUACUGAUUAAUAGAGGGGAAGCAUGGAGAGGUAAUGGAAUUGCAUUCCGCACUUCUCACUAAACUUGAGCAGCUUUAUUUGCAAAGCUGCAGGAUUGUGUAAUUGUUGCAGAAAAAAGUGCACCAGCAACGUUUACCAUUUGUUCGAUGCAUAUGGUUCAUUACUUCUAUAUAUGUCCGAAAGUGCCAUGUCUUGGAUCAUGUCUUACAUUUUAGCUGCCUACCUUUAACAUUAUACAACUUAUCUGCAUAGUCUGAUAAAACAUGUGCCUGCAUCUAUACACCAGUUAACUUUUUUGGGGGGUUGGGGACUUUGGGGGAGGGGGGGGGGGGGUUAAAGAAAACUUUAUGUUCACUGUCAAGUCUGAUACUGUCACUGUGUCACACACAUUGCAGAAAAGUUUUAACUCAAUUAAUAUCAUCAUUAUUUCCUACUGCAACAAGAGUCAAUGGCAGAUACUUGCCCCCUCAUUUAUCUCUUGAGAAGGGGUAUUGAUUAUCAUGAUCCAUCUAAUUAUGUUGAGCAUUAUCCAUUGAUACCCAUUGGGAAAAUUAACUAGACUACUAGCAUUAGCUAGUGUGUGAAAGAUCUCUACUCAAUGCUAUUGUGAACAUCUCUCUUUUAGGCUUUUAAUUAGCCAUCUAACCUGUUAGUAAUGAUUAAGUACAUCGCUUUAUUCAGAGGAAAUGAGGCAGGACCACCGACAUUGAUCAGUUCUCUUUUUUAGGGGAUACAACACUGAUCAGUUCUGGCACUUCAAUUCAUGGCUACAUCAAUCUGCGAUGUACCUUUCUGCUUCUGUCGUACGUGUUUAACAUUUUCUUUUACAUCCACAAUCUAUGUGCUAUGACACCCUAAGGACUACUGUGGUAAUCAGGAGCCUCGCGAGGAAUCUUUCUUGUGCGCAGUGAUGGUCAUGGUUUCUCUUGGCUUUUCAUAUGAUCAUAAAGCAAUACAAGACAUAUAUCUUCAUUUUCUUCAAAAACCAAGGAUUAGCAUAUGAUAAUGGUUAGUAAAUGAAGGAACAGCAAGAUGUUGAACAUGUAAUGUAUGCACUAAUGCACAUGCAGAGCUGAAGAGACAUGAUUCUGAGGUAAUAAGUCAGUCUUUAAGCAUUGCAUACUUACUCAUUCGUAUGUAUCUUGGUGGAAAUCGUCGGCACAAACAAGCUACGGUACAGAUGGCCCUCGAGGAUGCUCAAGAGCCAAACGCUAGAAGAAGAGAGCUAGGUGUAGCCAAGGACAGACUUGCCGGCUAACUCCAAGGCGCUUCAGCAAAGCUGAGAUUCCCCCAAUACCAGGAGCCGGCAAGUCAUCCUUGGCUGCAUCCCGUUCUCCUCCUCACAGUGCAUGGCAACCCAGCAGAAGCUGCCUCAGUGGUUCUACUGCAUACUGAACAGUACAGGUACUCUUCCUACUUCUCUUCUUCCUUCCCCUACCAUGGCUGCUUUUCUAUCAUGUGGUUUGAUCUGCAAGCGUGCAUUGCAAUCGGGAGGUAUGGCCUGCAUUUAUAGGCACAGGCACAGGCAAGUUGGGCUUGGAAUCAUAUGGCGAUCACUGUUCAAUGGAUUCUUUAUUAUAAAUAUUUCAUCAAUCAUAGAGUUUGCCAUUUUAGGGAUGUGAUGAUGACUCGCGAUUGGUUGGCCUGAUUUCCAUUUUUAAAUUGAUAUAGUGGGCCCUGAGGAUGUGGCAUCCUCUCGAUAUGGGCUGUUAGGCUGGCAUGAUCCCCUCGGGCUGUUACUGGGGAGCCUCAUUGGUUGGUUGGGACUGGGGAUUGAGCUGUUCGCCUGUUCCUAUUGGCUGCUCGCACGUGAGCAUGCCUUGUGUGAUCUCGAUCUAGUGAGUUUUUUUUGUAACAACACCUCAACAGUCCUCUUUGUACCCCAGUGUUGCCAGCAAAAGCCAAGUUAAUUACCUCUAGAUA